rnacentral:rRNA from 1 species
UACGUAGGGGGCAAGCGUUGUCCGGAUUUAUUGGGCGUAAAGAGCGUGUAGGCGGCCAUGCAGGUCCGUUGUGAAAACUCGAGGCUCAACCUCGAGACGCCGGUGGAAACCGCAUGGCUAGAGUCCGGAAGAGAAGAGUGGAAUUCCACGUGUAGCGGUGAAAUGCGUAGAGAUGUGGAGGAACACCAGUGGCGAAGGCGACUCUUUGGUCUGUAACUGACGCUGAGGCGCGAAAGCGUGGGGAGCAAACAGG